UACGUAGGGUGCAAGCGUUAAUCGGAAUUACUGGGCGUAAAGCGUGCGCAGGCGGUUCGCUAAGACAGAUGUGAAAUCCUCGGGCUUAACCUGGGAACUGCAUUUGUGACUGGCGGGCUAGAGUAUGGCAGAGGGGGGUAGAAUUCCACGUGUAGCAGUGAAAUGCGUAGAGAUGUGGAGGAAUACCGAUGGCGAAGGCAGCCCCCUGGGCCAAUACUGACGCUCAUGCACGAAAGCGUGGGGAGCAAACAGG
rnacentral:rRNA from 1 species